rnacentral:rRNA from 1 species
AACGAACGCUGGCGGCAUGCCUAACACAUGCAAGUCGAACGAGACCUUCGGGUCUAGUGGCGCACGGGUGCGUAACGCGUGGGAAUCUGCCCUUGGGUUCGGAAUAACAGUUGGAAACGACUGCUAAUACCGGAUGAUGACGUAAGUCCAAAGAUUUAUCGCCCAGGGAUGAGCCCGCGUAGGAUUAGCUAGUUGGUGGGGUAAAGGCCUACCAAGGCGACGAUCCUUAGCUGGUCUAAGAGGAUGAUCAGCCACACUGGGACUGAGACACGGCCCAGACUCCUACGGGAGGCAGCAGUGGGGAAUAUUGGACAAUGGGCGAAAGACUGAUCCAGCAAUGCCGCGUGAGUGAUGAAGGCCUUAGGGUUGUAAAGCUCUUUUACCCGGGAUGAUAAUGACAGUACCGGGAGAAUAAGCCCCGGCUAACUCCGUG